GUCGCCGAACCGAUAUUGUGAUUGGUCGAAAAUGCUGACGAGAAAAGUAGAUUUGGGAUUGAAGGUAGUAGCUGAUCCUCUGGUUCUCUCAUUCUCCAGUCCUCCUGAGAAUGGCAGGAGUGUAGAAAACUGCCCCACAGGAUGAUGUGACACCACAACUCCACCUUGGAGGACUGUGUCCCAAACAUGUCACAGGUGUUUGCAAGCACAUCAGAGGGAAAAGAAGAAUUCUGACAUGUGCUUAGUGACUGACAAAGACAAAAAUUUGACUCCCCAGGAUGAAACUCUUAAAAAACCCUUUUGGUCUACUGUU